CUUGCCUCCCAUCUCUCUUAUCCAUCCCGUCAAGCAUCUAAGCCAUGUGCCACGGGGAUCGGUAGAACACCCACGCAUCUCAACAUACACACACACACACACACACACACCGGAUACGAGACACACCACACCCCGUUCGUCUAUCUCUCUGUGCUCCAGCAGGGUUGUGGGCCCUCAUGCGUGGCGUAUUGUGCUCAGGCAUUGUGUGCGUAUGAGCUGCCCAGCUUCAGAGAAGGCGCAGCUGACGGCUGCAGCAAUGCCAGUCGCAGACAAGUCGAAGGAGAGGAGGCACAAGAAGUCCAAGGAGGCCUCAACGGAGGGUGGCCAUCACCACCACCACCGCGCACACGAGAAGAAAAAGGGGAAGAGCGCCGCCAACGCAGAUGCAUCGACUUCGUUGCCGAUAACCUUGUCCGAACCCCCCAAACACCGCGGCACCAAGGCGGAUGAGGAUGAUGAGGACUGGGAGGCGAACCGCGCCGCUGUGGAGCGGCUUUGUUCACAGUACCCCAACAACGUCUGCGCCGACUGUGGAGAGACGGGUACUCGCUGGACUUCCGUCAACCAUGGAGUCUUCGUGUGCAUUCGCUGCUCCGGCGUGCAUCGCUCCUUGGGCGUGCACAUCUCGAAGGUCAAGUCGACAAACAUGGACCGAUGGUCCCUGGCAGAGGUGCGUCUGAUGGAGGCGAUCGGCAACGCCAAGGCGAAGACCCUCUACGAAGCCCGCCUUCCCACUGGCGCGCGUCCCUCUGGCGGCGCGGAUGCCGCGGCGGACGACGCUGUCAGGUCCUUCAUCCAGCGCAAGUACGAGCAGCGCGAGUUUGCCAUGCACAACCUCAAGGACGUACUGGGGAGGCUGUACAAGGACACCGGAUACGGCCGGCCAAAGAUGGGGUCGAAGCCGGGAGCGGCAGCCGAGGGGACUGUCACCUCGCCCACGCGAGGCAGCAGCUCUGAUGCCGUGCCGAUCGAUCGUGCCGUCGCUACAGGGAAGAGAGGCGAUACCAUGCGUGCCCUCUACGGCGAUGCCGCCGCGGAAAUGCAGCGGGGCUCGUCGAGGAGGAAGGACGCGGCCAGGUUGUCCGCGGCGUCGGCACCGAAGCCGACGUACGGCACAUUUGGUAUGGUGAACGUGCCAGUGGAGGAGUACGAGGCGCGGUGGCAGCGCACGCUGGCCGUGUUCUCCUCUGUAGAGGCCCUGCCAGCAGCGGCGGCGGCGCCAGCAGGGGAGAUGCUGAGUGCAGAUGAGAGGGGAAAGGAAGGCGAUGCCACGACUGCCACUCCUCUGACAGACCCCAACGACACCGUUGCUGAGCGUCCGCAGAUGGGCGGAGCAGAGGCGACUCCGGCGGCAGCUUCGGCUACCUCCUUUGUAGUGUAGCCUCUCUUUUCCUUCGGUGUCGUCUGCCCAGCUGCGUGAGCGCGCGCGUGUCCGCGCUAGCAGGUAUUGCGACUGUCGUGUACACUUCGUCUUUAAGGCCCAAUCAACGAAAAAAAAAGCAUAAUCACUAGCUCACGUUGUUCAUUAACGCAGUGCAUCGGCUGCAGCAGUAGCUGAUGUGUUGUGCUGCGUACCCAUGCAGAGAGAGAGAGUGAAUUUAGGCGAGGCCGGUGAGAGUGGGCAGAGGCGGCCGGCUUCAAGGGGUGCUCGCUGACGUGUUUCGUUCCAUGUGUGUGUCGCUGCAUGAGCAUGGCGCGCGUUUUGAUGCAUUUUGGUUUUGCUGCUGGUCCCCGCUCCCCUUUGGCAGAGAAGAUGAGGCACUGACGUAUUCGCUUUCCGGAACCCCUUCUUACCUCGUUACCACCUCACCUCCGGGCCCGACUCAACUGUGUGUGCCCACGCAG
rnacentral:misc_RNA from 1 species